rnacentral:miRNA from 1 species
AAGAGAGGCUGGAUUCAGAAUGA